rnacentral:lncRNA from 1 species
UUUUAAAAAAGGGAAAAAAUCUUUAUACGGGAUACUCGUGUAUACAUACGUAAGUACGUGUACGUAUAGGUGGAGAGAGAAAGAAAGAGAGGAGAGAGAAAGCUAGAGAGAGAGAGAGAGAGUGGCCACUUGAGGGAAGGAGGGGAUGGGGUUAAAACAUACGGCGGGUAUCGUUUGUGGAGACGUAUAAAAAGAGGGGUUGUAGGCAGAAGAGACUCCGACGAACUGAGGAGAGCUAAUUUUCCCCUUUUUUCUCUCUCAUUACUCUUUUUUCAUUUUCCUUGGGGAGUGAAAAACCUCGUUCAAUGAAUCACUGAUUUUCUCUCUCUCUCUGUAUAUAUAUAUAU